GAUGAACGCUGGCGGCGUGCCUAAUACAUGCAAGUCGAGCGAACGGACGAGAAGCUUGCUUCUCUGAUGUUAGCGGCGGACGGGUGAGUAACACGUGGAUAACCUACCUAUAAGACUGGGAUAACUUCGGGAAACCGUAGCUAAUACCGGAUAAUAUUUUGAACCGCAUGGUUCAAAAGUGAAAGACGGUCUUGCUGUCACUUAUAGAUGGAUCCGCGCUGCAUUAGCUAGUUGGUAAGGUAACGGCUUACCAAGGCAACGAUGCAUAGCCGACCUGAGAGGGUGAUCGGCCACACUGGAACUGAGACACGGUCCAGACUCCUACGGGAGGCAGCAGUAGGGAAUCUUCCGCAAUGGGCGAGAGCCUGACGGAGCAACGCCGCGUGAGUGAUGAAGGUCUUCUGAUCGUAAAGCUCUGUUAUUGGGGAAGAACAUAUGUGUAAGUAACUGUGCACAUCUUGACGGUACCUAAUCAGAAAGCCACGGCUAACUACGUG
rnacentral:rRNA from 1 species